rnacentral:misc_RNA from 1 species
AACUGAUACUACCUGCGGGAACCUGCGGAGGGAUCAUUACUGAAGUGAUUUGGGGAUGUUGCUGGCCUCUCUCUCAAGGGGGGGGCACUGUGCACUCCUCGAAACCAUUCACAAUUUCCAUCACACCCCUUGUGCACACCUUGUAGGCACCCAAACCCACCUCCGGGUGGUGGGGUCCUAUGUAUUCCUUCAUCUCACACUCUGUUGAAUGGUGCCAUGGGACGCAUCUAAAGGAUUAUU